rnacentral:rRNA from 1 species
GACGAACGCUGGCGGCGUGCUUAACACAUGCAAGUCGAACGGAGAACUUUCUUCGGAAUGUUCUUAGUGGCGAACGGGUGAGUAACGCGUAGGCAACCUGCCCUCUGGUUGGGGACAACAUUCCGAAAGGGAUGCUAAUACCGAAUGUGAUCCUUCUUUCGCGUGAAGGAAGGAUGAAAGAUGGCCUCUACUUGUAAGCUAUCGCCAGAAGAUGGGCCUGCGUCUGAUUAGCUAGUAGGUGGGGUAACGCUCACCUAGGCGAUGAUCAGUAGCCGGUCUGAGAGGAUGAACGGCCACAUUGGGACUGAGACACGGCCCAA